UACGAAGGGGGCUAGCGUUGCUCGGAAUGACUGGGCGUAAAGGGCGCGUAGGCGGCUUGCACCGUCAGAUGUGAAAUUCCUGGGCUUAACCUGGGGGCUGCAUUUGAUACGUGUGGGCUUGAGUGCGGAAGAGGGUCGUGGAAUUCCCAGUGUAGAGGUGAAAUUCGUAGAUAUUGGGAAGAACACCGGUGGCGAAGGCGGCGACCUGGUCCGUGACUGACGCUGAUGCGCGAAAGCGUGGGGAGCGAACAGG
rnacentral:rRNA from 1 species